UACGAAGGGGGGCUAGCGUUUGUUCGGAAUUACUGGGCGUAAAGCGCACGUAGGCGGGUCGUUAAGUCAGGGGUGAAAUCCCGGAGCUCAACUCCGGAACUGCCUUUGAUACUGGCGAUCUAGAGGUCGAGAGAGGUGAGUGGAAUUCCGAGUGUAGAGGUGAAAUUCGUAGAUAUUCGGAAGAACACCAGUGGCGAAGGCGGCCCACUGGCUCGAUACUGACGCUGAGGUGCGAAAGCGUGGGGAGCAAACAGG
rnacentral:rRNA from 1 species